UUUUUUUUCCUCCUGCAACCCUUUAGAAAGAGAGACAGGACAAAAGAAGAAUGUGUGUUCUAUAUGCACAAUUCUUUGCAGGCCUCUGACGAAGUACCUCAAAAGCUAAGCUCCCAUCAAUCCUGGAGAGAUAGAAUCAGCGGAGCAUAGUGAUGGAAUGAAUGGUUGAAAAGAACAGCGGUGACCAAAGAACUUUUUAUGCAGAGAAAACCCCAAAUCUGGGGCAAAGCCCUCCUGUUCAUUUUAUCUCACAAAAGGCUCCUGGUGGCCAAUGCAUCAAUAUAUGCAUUCAGGCCACUGUUCCUUGGAUUAAGAAGCAGCUAAGGAAACAAGUUUUAUAACAAGCAACUGACUUCUAUGACAUUCAUAUCAAGUGUUAUAUCAAGAAAAAGAAGUUACCGAGAAGACAUCUAUAUGUGAGAAGCUGUGUGUCUCUCAUUUUCUGGAAGAUUCUCAAACAGCUCAGAUAAACUACAUAUUUGGGAGGACACUGAAGCUAGGAAGUGGUUCUCUUAUUUUUCCGGGGAGUUAGAGGCAGCUUUUGUUGGCAAUCUCACGAAAGAGUACAGUACUGAUGGAUCACGCUGCCUGAUGUCCUGUGGCUUCUCACUAUUUUUAGCACAAGGGAGAUGUUAGUUGAA
rnacentral:lncRNA from 1 species